CCACCUUUGUCCAUAUGCCUUUCAGUGUGUUGGUGACAAUUUAUACAAUGUUGUGUCAUGCCAUCUCUUUCGCGCAUGUGGACGCAUGUUAUAUGUAAACAUACUCGUUGGUUGAUGUAAAUCUGGAGUGCAGAAUUUUGUUGAUAAUUUGCAUCGAAAUCGACUGUAGUUUAGUGUAAAUGUUGCUAAUAUUAAUGGGUAAGGACCGUAGGUUAGGCGUGCAACGCAUAUAAUCGUCGUUCAAAGAGGCUGCACGCUCGCGGCAGCCCGAAAAUGUGACCAGGCAAAACAUCCGGCGUCGGAUAAACAAAAUGGGCUGCUGUGCUGCUGUAGGAGAUGAUUUGCAAGAGGGCAAACAACUAUACAUCGGCAUCGAUAAAAGUGUAGCAACAUAAAACGGCAUUGCGACACUACCGUAGAAUGUUUUUGUGGAAUGACGAUCUGGGAUGGUUAACUGUGGGCAUCAGUGCUCGCAUGUUCCCAAACCCUCAUGCACUGAUAUGCACAUCAAGGGAAAGCAGCUAGUUAACGAUCAAGUAACGAUCAGGUAAGAGCCAUGGCAAAUAUGUUGUGUAAGUACUGUGCUACGUGUUCCGUGAAGAGUAAAAUGUCUUUGAAAUAUCACAUAUUACUUUCAUAGAUGGGGUUAAGAAUGUUGAUUAUGCAAGAAACAUGUUCAAUUUGUUUUACUCAUUUGACCCAAGUAGCCUUAAGAAACUCUAUUUGAUUAUUAACAGUUUUUUUAAGGCCUUAAAAAUCAAAUAGAGUUUCUUAAGAGAAUAUGACAUUUGCCAGCGUUACAGCAUAACGAUGUAUUCCGUUACCCUCGUUUUUUUUUAUUCGGGUCAAUAUAACACACAGUGUUUUUCAAAUUUUAUCUACACCAUUUCCAAUUUAUUCAAUAUUCGAAAAAUCAUUUUCUUAUUUAUAUAAUAAUGCGUAUUUAUUUUCACACCAAAAUAUUUGUGUUGCUUAACUGUACGAAAACUAUGUGUUUUCUUUUAUUCCUCUACUUGAAUCUGUGGUAAUAAUAAAAAAAAUAAAAAUUUAAAAAAAAUCAUAGUUUUUAAGUAAUACAUGUGAAGAGUUUGAUAAAGGGUACAGGCGGUCCCCGAGAUACACGGUUAAUGGGGACCGAAAACGGCCGCAAAAUACCGCGUAUCUCGAAUUUCCGCGUAAGUCGAAUCUCGUGAUUUCCAGCUAAAAUAUCACAAAUUUUCGUGUAAUUUUGCAAGUAGGGGGCGGUUUUAGUCAUUUUAUGAAUUAUUUGAUAUGAUCCUGACUGAAUAUAACAGUUUUAAACAUUUUUAAAAAGUUUUUAACAUUGGAUCGAAACGGAAAUUAUUUGGCAAUUUACAAUUGAUGUGUCAAAACAGUACAAUUUUCUCAAAGAACUGUCAAAUUUAGAAAACCGUGUAUCUCCGAAUCCGCGUAUAAGAGGUACCGUGUAUCUCGGGGACCGCCUGUAUGCAAUAUUAGCAAAUGAGAAAAAUCUUCAUAAAAAUAUUUAUUUUCUUGGGCAAAAUAAUAUGCUCUUGAUGACGAUCAUUUUUGAGACAUACUGUACAUGGUCACGUACAUGGCGCCUCCAUUUCUUAUGUCAAAAAGUUCGUCAAGCUUCCUGUGUGUAGCUUGUGUGUAGAUGGCAACAAAACCAAGCGUCUGCGACAAUAUCUAUCAGCUAUUGUUUAAUUUGUGUAUCAUCGUGCUUUUACAACAGGUCAGUGUAUCGAUAUUACCAUUCUCUUCACAUGAGCUACAUAAGUUUUAUAUUUCGCAGCAUUUUCGAUUCCGAUAGCGUUUGGACAUCAUGUUUUCCGUACACGGCAGCAGCUGACCUCCACGAUGAAGAUUGACGAAAUCCGCGUAAUGAAAGAAAAUUGUGUGAUGCGGUUACCUAGUGAAAUUGUGUUUUUAUUCAAUAAACGAAUAAGUGUUUUAUUUAUUAAUUUAUUUCACGAAAAUAUAAGCACAUUAAGCUUAAC